GGAGCCCGACGCGGGGCUCAAACCCACGAACCGAGAGAUCGCGACCUGAGCUGAAGUUCGACGCUCAGCUGACUAAGUGACUCAGGCGCCCCAAACUAAUUCUGAUUCUGAGGCCCCUGGUCGGUCCACUACAGAGCCUGGCCCUGGGAAGAAAGAGGAGUCUUGGAUUCAUCAUCACUCCACCUUGUGUGGCUCAAGAGAUCGUUGUCUCCUGUUCCCAUGUGGUUUUGCCGUGGACAAAGAGAACAAAAGUUGACCCUGGAACAGCCUUAUCUUCAGUCACUCUCUGGGGGAGUUUCCUUAUUUACAUGCAAGCCAUGAUCUUUCAAAUGAUGUUUCACAUGGGACCCCAAUACAGAUGAGAUAAUUGGAGAAGUAGUGGGACUUUCUGAGGACAUGUAGGCCAAUCACUGAGUUCACUUCUUGAAAAAUUAGUCACCUUGUAAAAUUUAAAAAAUAUGUGUAUGUAUAUAUAUAUGUGUAUACACACACACACACACACACACAUAUAAACAAGUAGAAAUGAAUAAAAAUCAUUGGCUUUGACAAAUACGUUCAACUAUCUGUUAAAAUAGCUCUUGAUUCUUAGUCCUUUCCACCAUUUAUGUCCAUAUAAUGAUGUGAGCCCAGGUCGUUGAAAAACCAUGUCUCUAAGAAAGAAACAAGAAAUUGUCUCUAACAAGACAAUUGUCUGAAACAUGAAUUGUCUGAUGGGAACCCGAUCUCCUGUCCUAGCUCUCUUCAAUUCAGUCCAACAGUCCUAAUUUGUCAGUCACAAUGAAACAAUUUGGUGUUCAUUAGCCAGAUUCAGAGGUAAGGAACUUGAGACUUCAAAAGAAAUCUCUCCUCCCAGUAGGCCAGUCUGUAGUCUCCUGGGGAUGUAUCCCUUUUUCUCUGCCAAUCUGGAUGUUUCCAUGUACAGGCUCUGGGAGGCCCUGCCUCAGGCCACUCCAAAGCCAGGGGUUUGAACUCUAAAACCAGGUGUCUCUUCACUACACAACAUUAUUCCCUGGUCCAUGGGUUUUCAACUCUAACAGACUUUCUUCUCUUCUUCAGCCUGGCCAAAAUAAUUCCAUUUCGUAUUUGAGACCCAAAUCACCUCUCAUGUUCUCUCAGAAGUGACCCUUGGCUGCUUCUGUCCAUACAGACAUUUCUGUUCUUUGAACGUAGAGCUGAUACACAAUUAUAAUGACACUGAAGACACAUUAUCUUGGCUACCUUCUCUAUCUGUCUGUU